rnacentral:rRNA from 1 species
AUUGAACGCUGGCGGCAUGCCUUACACAUGCAAGUCGAACGGUAACAGGUCUUCGGAUGCUGACGAGUGGCGAACGGGUGAGUAAUACAUCGGAACGUGCCCGAGAGUGGGGGAUAACGAGGCGAAAGCUUUGCUAAUACCGCAUACGAUCUCAGGAUGAAAGCAGGGGACCGCAAGGCCUUGCGCUCACGGAGCGGCCGAUGGCAGAUUAGGUAGUUGGUGGGAUAAAAGCUUACCAAGGCGACGAUCUGUAGCUGGUGGGAGAGGACGACCAGCCACACGGGGAGUGGGACAAGGCCCAGACUCCUACGGGAGGCAGCAGUGGGGAAUUUUGGACAAUGGGCGCAAGCCUGAUCCAGCCAUGCCGCGUGCAGGAUGAAGGCCUUCGGGUUGUAAACUGCUUUUGUACGGAACGAAAAGACUCUGGUUAAUACCUGGGGUCCAUGACGGUACCGUAAGAAUAAGCACCGGCUAACUACGUGCCAGCCGCCGCCGUAACAC